rnacentral:rRNA from 1 species
GACGAACGCUGGCGGCGUGCCUAAUACAUGCAAGUCGAGCGAGACUCUUCGGAGUCUAGCGGCGGACGGGUGAGUAACACGUGGGCAACCUGCCUGUCAGACUGGGAUAACACCGGGAAACCGGUGCUAAUACCGGAUAAUCCUUUUCCUCUCAUGAGGAAAAGCUGAAAGUCGGUUUCGGCUGACACUUACAGAUGGGCCCGCGGCGCAUUAGCUAGUUGGUGAGGUAACGGCUCACCAAGGCGACGAUGCGUAGCCGACCUGAGAGGGUGAUCGGCCACACUGGGACUGAGACACGGCCCAGACUCCUACGGGAGGCAGCAGUAGGGAAUCUUCCACAAUGGACGAAAGUCUGAUGGAGCAACGCCGCGUGAGCGAUGAAGGCCUUCGGGUCGUAAAGCUCUGUUGUUAGGGAAGAACAAGUACCGGAGUAACUGCCGGUACCUUGACGGUACCUAACCAGAAAGCCACGGCUAACUACGUGCCAGCCGCCGCCGUAAAAC